rnacentral:misc_RNA from 1 species
GGCAAAAACAUACAACAAAUAGCCUAGAAAUAAAUAAAUCAUAAGGCUCAAAUUAGUUUCAAAACAAAUCAACUUAAAUUCAGAUCAACCCAGGCCAAAACACAAUCGGGAAAUCCUAGCCUAACAGAGGACAGAGUCAUCUUUACAUUCCUGCACCGCCGCCACUUUCCUGCUCUGAGCUAAAAAUGCUAGAAGAAAGAUUUGAAAACCCAUCGCCUUAAUCAAGAAAAAAGAACUACUGCACAAA